rnacentral:rRNA from 1 species
UUCCAGACUCCUACGGGAGGCAGCAGUGGGGAAUAUUGCACAAUGGGGGAAACCCUGAUGCAGCAACGCCGCGUGAGUGAAGAAGUCAUUCGUGAUGUAAAGCUCUCUCAGCAGGGAAGAAAAUGACGGUACCUGAGUAAGAAGCCCCGGCUAACUACGUGCCAGCAGCCGCGGUAAUACGUAGGGGGCGAGCGUUAUCCGGAUUUACUGGGUGUAAAGGGAGCGUAGACGGCAGCGCAAGUCUGGAGUGAAAUGCCGGGGCCCAACCCCGGAACUGCUUUGGAAACUGUGCAGCUGGAGUGCAGGAGAGGUAAGCGGAAUUCCUAGUGUAGCGGUGAAAUGCGUAGAUAUUAGGAGGAACACCAGUGGCGAAGGCGGCUUACUGGACUGUAACUGACGUUGAGGCUCGAAAGCGUGGGGAGCAAACAGGAUUAGAUACCCUCGUAGG